rnacentral:rRNA from 1 species
AUUGAACGCUGGCGGCAUGCUUUACACAUGCAAGUCGAACGGUAACAGGCCGCAAGGUGCUGACGAGUGGCGAACGGGUGAGUAAUGCAUCGGAACGUGCCCAGUCGUGGGGGAUAACGCAGCGAAAGCUGCGCUAAUACCGCAUACGAUCUAUGGAUGAAAGCGGGGGACCGUAAGGCCUCGCGCGAUUGGAGCGGCCGAUGUCAGGUUAGGUAGUUGGUGGGGUAAAGGCUCACCAAGCCGACGAGCUGUAGCUGGUCUGAGAGGACGACCAGCCACACUGGGACUGAGACACGGCCCAGACUCAUACGGGAGGCAGCAGUGGGGAAUUUUGGACAAUGGGGGCAACCCUGAUCCAGCAAUGCCGCGUGCAGGAAGAAGGCCUUCGGGUUGUAAACUGCUUUUGUACGGAACGAAACGGCUCUGGUUAAUACCUGGGGCUAAUGACGGUACCGUAAGAAUAAGCACCGGCUAACUACGUGCCAGCAGCCGCGGUAACAC